ACAGGUCAGAAUUGAACUGUUUUAUAGUGAAACAUAUAUACCUAUUUUUAAUCAAUAUCUCCUCAGGAGGAAAGUAAGAAGUUUAUAUGUUAACAAACUUUGUACUUCAAAGAAGUAUGACUCACACAUAUUCUGAGUAGAAGCUAUCAAUUUGGCCAAAACACGACAUUCCACAGUUAUGAGAGAGUUAAUGAUGUAUGGUCACUUGGUCAAAGGUUGGUAACUCGACCCCCCCCCCCCCUUCCAGAACACUUGUGAUAACUUAGCCAAACAAACCCCAGAUUGUAAACAUCAGAUAGGAACCAAACUUCCAAAACAAAAGACUUCCUGUCUCCCUCCCAAUAACAAGACCCUUUCCCAGAACAGGUUACGUGUGGUAGCUAGAUCACUGUGAGAGUGUAGCUGUUAUAAAAGAAGGCAGAGGUAUUUGACAGAUUCACUCCUGUACUGCACCCCAUCCAUGGGGCAGGCAGGGAGGUCGACUCUGCAAGCUUUUGGUGUAACAUGUCAUUAUAUAGGUAAGAAGAUUAUUCGUUUGUUAAGUUGGAUAAUUAUUGAGAUAAUUAGUACUUUUGUAGAUGUAUUCUGAUGUUAGUUAAUAACCUUGGUAUCGUUCUUAACGAUAUAGUUUGUGCUGAAUUAAUAUGCAUCAUGAGGUGUGGCAUAUUAUGUUUAAUCAUCAGUAGGUUGAUUUCGUUAGUGAGUUAGCACUAGAUUAAGAUUUGGUAAUAGUAAUUUGGGAUGAUUUGAAUAUUACUAUGUUAUCUGUUAUAUUACUUGUAAUCUUUAGAAGUUUUAGUUAUAUAAUGUGUUGUUGAGGUUAACUCUGGAUAAUCGUAUUUUGCAAAACAGUUGUAAUUAAAAGUAAUGUUUUUAAGAGUUAACAGUUUGCGGAUAUAGUUUGAAUCUUCUUCAGUUUUCUGUUGUGGAAUAUAAUGCACAAUGAUUUGUAUUAAUUAUUAUUCCUUCAGGCCGGUGUUGACAAAUUACAAUCAACAUGUAAGAAGCGGGAACGAGAGGAAACGGUCCUCUAGGCCAGAUUGCCAGGGCUUUAGCUUUGGCUUUAGCUUACUUUAGCUUUGUUCACUUUGCACCUGAAAUAAAAAGAACCGCAACACAACGAAUGGUGUGAUCGAGUAUUUUCUACCAGUUUCUGCGUGUGAUCGGCGAUGUUACAAAUGGCGUAAUCGGCAGGAUUUCAUCACUGCAAGUGCAAGCCCUGGCUUUCUGUGGAGCUUCUAGUUUUGGGACAGCUUGAUCGGACAUGGACAUCUGGAGACCUGUAAAUAUUGAUGUAGAUUUAAGUUGUAGCGAUUGUGUGUAUUGUAUGAAUGUUUGUUGCUAAGCUAGUGUGAAGUUUAGUAAGGAGCUACGUUGUGUUUGUUUAGGGUAAUUUUAUUGAAAUUAUCUUGUAAUGGAAUACUUUAAUGUAUUCAGUUUAAAUUGUUUUGGGGAAUUUAGGAGUAAUACUAUUCAUAUGUUGUUGAGACUGUCAUGAUAAUUCUGUGUUUGGAACAAUCCAUACCCCCUUUCGUAUUUAACUUCGGCUGGUUGGAUGGAGCCUCAAAUUAAGGGAUGGCAUACAAAGACACCGGUAUUUUAUAUAUUGAUAGGAGGGAUAGCAGUACAUGUAGGUGUAGAGCAGGUAUAGCUCUAGCUUUAUCACUUAUGAAUAGUUGGAAUAUUCCUUUAUUUGAACUUGUAAAUUGUUGAGAUUUUAAGUUGGUCUUGAGAUUCGUUAAAGUUUCGGUAACUUAAGGAUAAGUUAGGUUUAGGUUGAAGUGUAUGUAUAUCACAUUUAUUGAAUUGAUAUGCAUGAUGUAUAUUUGUUAGUUUAAGGACUGCUUUUGAAAAAGCAGGGGAGCCCAUGAACGUGACAUGUUGUUUAAUUUUGGGUCAGCAAUUAUUGUUCGGAGUAACUAUGUGCGUGUGUUGUGUUAAUGGAUAUUGUAUUGGUUUAUACUAAGAUUUCUGGUAUAUAACUGGGAUUUGGCUGGAAUUACUAUUGGACUUAGCCGGGAUAGAGUAUUUAAUGUUUAUUCCGAAAACCUUGACAUGAGACCGGAAUCAUUCAUGGUAGAAAUACUGGGGCGACUUCUAGGAACAGUAGGGUUUAUUUCUCUAUCUUUGUUUUUCUGUUAACCUCAUAGAGAGGCCGGAAAGGGCACAUUGGUAGCAGAGAGGAUUAGCCAAAAGUUAUAAGAUUUUUUUUGUAUAUUGCAUUGUCAAAUUUUUGUAUCUUAUGAGUUUAUUAAGAUAUGCGAAAGGAAUAUCUGUAGGGCAAGGUUGUUACGAAAUAGAGUUGAUAGUUUCACUGCUGUAUUUGCUAGAGUGUGUAAAUGUACUAUAAGGACGAUUAUUGUUUUUGUGUGUUUAAAAUGACACAGGGUAGAAUAAUUGGAUAUAUACCGUGAAAAUCAUCUGGCUUGUUGGAGAUGCCUGUAAUAUGAAGAUUUAUGUUGAUAACUAAGGUUUGGCAGUAGAGACUCUGGAACUGUUAUGAUCAGUUGGGUAGUACUUAGAUAAUUUGUAAAUGCUAGGAGCCUCGACAUGAGACCAGUUUUACAUAAUAAGGAAUGCUAGAAUGACUGAAACAGAUGAGUUUUUGCACUAGGUAUGUUUUCUGUGAUUCUCGUCAUGAGACCAGAAAGUUCGUAUUAGUGGUGCGGGUUGGCCAAUAACGUGUUAUGAUUUCAAUUUUUAUGUUCUGUAUUAUGCAAAAAUAGUUUUAAUCACAUGGUUAAUUUUGAUUUGCAUAUUGGUAAUUAGGCAUCGGUAUUAGGAUCGGGAAACAGCCACGAUGGAGAUAAGGUAUAGUGGGAAUUUAAUAUAAUUUUUGUUGUAGUCUGAGUGUCGGGACGACACUCAAUUAAGCAGGGGAGUGUGUAACAGGUCAGAAUUGAACUGUUUUAUAGUGAAACAUAUAUACCUAUUUUUAAUCAAUAUCUCCUCAGGAGGAAAGUAAGAAGUUUAUAUGUUAACAAACUUUGUACUUCAAAGAAGUAUGACUCACACAUAUUCUGAGUAGAAGCUAUCAAUUUGGCCAAAACACGACAUUCCACAGUUAUGAGAGAGUUAAUGAUGUAUGGUCACUUGGUCAAAGGUUGGUAACUCGACCCCCCCCCCCCCUUCCAGAACACUUGUGAUAACUUAGCCAAACAAACCCCAGAUUGUAAACAUCAGAUAGGAACCAAACUUCCAAAACAAAAGACUUCCUGUCUCCCUCCCAAUAACAAGACCCUUUCCCAGAACAGGUUACGUGUGGUAGCUAGAUCACUGUGAGAGUGUAGCUGUUAUAAAAGAAGGCAGAGGUAUUUGACAGAUUCACUCCUGUACUGCACCCCAUCCAUGGGGCAGGCAGGGAGGUCGACUCUGCAAGCUUUUGGUGUAACAUGUCAUUAUAUAGGUAAGAAGAUUAUUCGUUUGUUAAGUUGGAUAAUUAUUGAGAUAAUUAGUACUUUUGUAGAUGUAUUCUGAUGUUAGUUAAUAACCUUGGUAUCGUUCUUAACGAUAUAGUUUGUGCUGAAUUAAUAUGCAUCAUGAGGUGUGGCAUAUUAUGUUUAAUCAUCAGUAGGUUGAUUUCGUUAGUGAGUUAGCACUAGAUUAAGAUUUGGUAAUAGUAAUUUGGGAUGAUUUGAAUAUUACUAUGUUAUCUGUUAUAUUACUUGUAAUCUUUAGAAGUUUUAGUUAUAUAAUGUGUUGUUGAGGUUAACUCUGGAUAAUCGUAUUUUGCAAAACAGUUGUAAUUAAAAGUAAUGUUUUUUAAGAGUUAACAGUUUGCGGAUAUAGUUUGAAUCUUCUUCAGUUUUCUGUUGUGGAAUAUAAUGCACAAUGAUUUGUAUUAAUUAUUAUUCCUUCAGGCCGGUGUUGACAAAUUACAAUCAACAUGUAAGAAGCGGGAACGAGAGGAAACGGUCCUCUAGGCCAGAUUGCCAGGGCUUUAGCUUUGGCUUUAGCUUACUUUAGCUUUGUUCACUUUGCACCUGAAAUAAAAAGAACCGCAACACAA